rnacentral:rRNA from 1 species
CGACUCUCGGCAACGGAUAUCUCGGCUCUCGCAUCGAUGAAGAACGUAGCGAAAUGCGAUACUUGGUGUGAAUUGCAGAAUCCCGUGAACCAUCGAGUCUUUGAACGCAAGUUGCGCCCGAGGCCUUCUGGCCGAGGGCACGUCUGUCUGGGCGUCACGCA